UGCCUAGUGUGUUUGAAUCAGCUGGA
rnacentral:piRNA from 1 species